AUUUCCUGUCAGCACCAGUGACUGCAGGGAAUUUGCUAAAACAAGAGCUUUGAGACAAUUCUUCGGAGAUAAUUAUUUUGCUGGCACCAUCUAGACAGUUCCCAGGUGAUGCUGAUGCAGCUGGCCCAGAGAUCCACAGUGAGAACUGCUGCCUGUGAGUAAGCCCCUAACUCAAAACCAGUAGCCAACAUACAUGUCCUGAAGAUCUAGAAUGGACCCUAGGGACACUCUUGCUCCAGCUUUUGGAUUCUGAGGUCUACCCAUUUUCUUCAGAGAAGUUUCAAGCAACACAUCGUCCUGAGCCUGUUCCCAAAGCUCCCAUUUAAGAAACAAGGAAAAAACAUUGUUAAAAUAAGGGCAUUUGCAUACUGCCAAGCAGAAAUAACUACCAGCAGGAAGAAAGCAUCUUUUAAAAAUUCCUGUUUGUUGAUGGCAAACAUUACUUUUUUUUUUUUUGCCCUUGUACUUAUAUCAACAGACUCUCUUGAGGGAAUUUCAUUCAACAUUAUAAAAAGGUUUACCAGGAACUUGGAUUAGCCAUGAACAACUUCAAAUUGAAGCCAUAUACAUAUAUAUAUAUAUAUAUUUUUCAUAUGUGCAUGAGAGUAAGGAACUCUACAGAGGAGACUCCUUAUUUCUUACGACACAGCUAAUCAUUAACGACACCUUGGUGAUUUACAAUCUGUAAAGCAUUUUCUCAUACAUUUUUUAGUUUGAUUUGCACAAGGAUCCACCAGGAAGGCAUACCAGAU
rnacentral:lncRNA from 12 species